UGCCAAUGAUGAGUUGCCAUGCUAAUCCUGACGCAGCAGCUAGAUUCCCCUGGGAUUUGUGCUGGGGGCGAAUGAGUUAACCCAAACUUCUCACUUUGUGAGCCCUGAGGCCA